UGGAUGAGUGGUGAUCCCACAUAGGUAAAUUUAAAACCAUACUCUCCAAGAUAACCGUUGAAUUGAGGGUUGCCCUAAAUUCAGUAUUUCAAUCACCCUUUUUUCGUCCCAGUUUUGAUUCCAAUCUAUGAACAAGGUGUUUAUAUUUAGUUGAUUUCGAAACACCACCUGCAAGUCGCUAAUUUUGUCAGCUGGUACGUAGGUUCAUAAAAUUGAAACUAAGGUGGAUGAUCUGCACAAGAAUAUACCUUUCAUUUGAAUAUAAGAUUUCUGUCUGAAACAUACGUCUGGAGUUACAAAGUUAGAUGACGCCCUCCAACUGCUUGAUUAAAUGCUUCUAAAGCAUUGGAUUCAUUAGGUGCAGUAGGUCACUAGUUCACUGUGUUGGGAAGCUAAAGAUGCAAGGAGCAUAUGAUUCGCAUAAAGAUACGUUGAAGGUUGAAGUUGAUAUGGAGAAUCCUGAUUAUCUUAUGAUUUUCUUUGCGUUUGAUGCUUCAUUUUAACGGAGGCAUAAAGGAAGAAGGUACAAGCACCAAGAAAACGGAAGGAGCGCAAGAUAGAGGUAAAACACCUUUAUAGGCGAUUUGGAGAUAUGGAGCGAGCACAUGAUCAAGCCUUAUUACACCAAGCGCUUCCGCUAGUUUUUAUACAUGCUUUGGGGUCUAUGUUUUGUUACUUUGUUUAAUCUUGUUGGAAGUCUUACAUUUGAAAACUUGUUGUUUUGUUUGGGUAGUUUAAAGCUAGUAUGGUCGUAGGUGAAUAUUGUUAUUAUGUCAAAAACAGGGGGCAUGUCCGUUUUACAAACGGGUCAUGCCCAAAUUUUGUAAAAAUUUUUAGUAUGUGACAAAGUUGGUAUUUUGAU
rnacentral:lncRNA from 1 species